rnacentral:lncRNA from 1 species
UAUAAAUAGCUUUGGGUGAUGGAAAAUAAUUUACCCUUAUUAAAUACUAAUUGACAGGCCCUGUGUUGUAGCUUAGAUAGACCUUUGGGUGAUGAAAUAUAAUUUACACUUAUUAAAUACCAAUUGACAGGCCGUGUGUUGUGGCCUUAUGUCCCACUGGGGAUGAAGAGGAUAAGUAAAUAAGUAAAAAGUAAAUAAGUAAUUUACUAAUUGAAAAUUGUUAAAGUUUACAGUAUACCACACAAAUAUUUUGUGUUGUUUGAAACUGUUAUAAU